rnacentral:rRNA from 1 species
UACGUAGGGGCCGAGCGUUGUCCGGAGUUACUGGGCGUAAAGCGCGCGCAGGCGGCCAUCUAAGCCCGGCGUGAAAGCCCCCGGCUCAACCGGGGAGGGUCGUCGGGGACUGGGUGGCUUGAGGACGGCAGGGGCUGGUGGAAUCCCCGGUGUAGUGGUGAAAUGCGUAGAGAUCGGGGGGAACACCCGUGGCGAAGGCGGCCAGCUGGGCCGUUCCUGACGCUGAGGCGCGAAGGCGUGGGGAGCGAACAGG